AGCAGCCGCGGUAAUUCCAGCUCCAAUAGCGUAUAUUAAAGUUGUUGCAGUUAAAAAGCUCGUAGUUGAAUUUCGGGAUCAAGUCGUCGGUCGUGCUCAGGUACGUACUGGCGUCAUUGAUUUCUCCCUUCUGACGAACCAUGAUGUCAUUAAUUUGGUGUUAUGGGAAAUCAGGACUGUUACUUUGAAAAAAUUAGAGUGUUUAAAGCAGGCUCACGCUUGAAUACAUUAGCAUGGAAUAAUGAAAUAGGACGUUCGAUCCUAUUUUGUUGGUUUUAGGAUCAACGUAAUGAUUAAUAGGGAUAGUUGGGGGCAUUAGUAUUCAAUUGUCAGAGGUGAAAUUCUUGGAUUUAUUGAAGACUAACUACUGCGAAAGCAUUUGCCAAGGAUGUUUUCAUUAAUCAAGAACGAAAGU
rnacentral:rRNA from 1 species